CCCCUUUCAGGGUCGCAACUGGAGAGAUUCCAGUCCUCUACCAGUCUCGGCUACAGGAGAGAGAGUCAAGCAGGGGCCUGUCCAUUCCGUUCCUAGCUUGGGCAGUGGCUAGGGAGUGGAAGACAAUCUGCUACAAGU
rnacentral:snoRNA from 1 species